CGACCUCAGAUCAGGCGGGACUACCCGCCGGAUUUAAGCAUAUUAAUAAGCGGAGGAAAAGAAAACAACCGUGAUUCCCCCAGUAGCGGCGAGCGAACAGGGAAGAGCCCAUCGCCGAAUCCCGCCGCGCACUUUUGUGCCGCGGCACGUACGGGAGUUGUGGCGUACGGGCCGGCCUCGUUGCCGGGGCGCACGCGACCGUCCAAGUCUCCCUUGAACGGGGCCAUGGCCCGCAGACGGUGCCAGGCCGGUAGAGGCGGUCGCAGCGUUCCGGGAUCGGACCGCGCCUUCGAGUCGGGUUGCUUGAGAGUGCAGCCCGAAGCGGGUGGUAAACUCCAUCUAAGGCUAAAUACGGCCACGAGACCGAUAGUGGACAAGUACCGUGAGGGAAAGUUGAAAAGAACUUUGAAGAGAGAGUUCAUAAGAACGUGAAACCGUUCGGGUGUAAACGGACAGAGCCCGCGAGUCCCCGCCGGGCGAAUUCACGGUCGGUCGCGGCCCGCCUCCUCUCGCGGGGAGGCGGACCCGGCCGGCCGGAUUUUUCGCCCGGUCAGCGGACGUCGCGACUCGUUGGGCGCCGGCCGAAGGGCCCGGGCGGCGGUUCGUGACGGCGGCGCGCUUUCGGGCGCUCCGUUCCGUCCCGAACCCCGGUGCUCCUGGCCGGCUCGCCCGACGGCAAGAACCGUCGACGAGGCCACGUCGCAGGCGUGGACACCCCGUCGGUCGGCGACGAGUUUCGGGCUACUUUCCGACCCGUCUUGAAACACGGACCAAGGAGUCUAACGUGUGCGCGAGUCAACGGUGUGUGCGCGCGGCGGCGGCAACGUCGCCGCGCGCUAAUUACGAAAACCACGUUCGGCGCAAUGAAAGUGAUCCGGGCGCGCUCGCGCGCCCGUCUCGCGGACGAUGGCCAGGCGACCGAACCCGCUGGCGUUCAUAGUCGCGCCGGUCCGCAGUCCGGGGGCGUCUCCGCCGGGUCGGCUUCGGCCGUCCGGGGGCGCACCCUUAGCGCACACGUUGGUACCCGAAAGAUGGUGAACUAUGCCUGGCCAGGAUGAAGUCAGGGGAAACCCUGAUGGAGGUCCGCAGCGAUUCUGACGUGCAAAUCGAUCGUCUGAGCUGGGUAUAGGGGCGAAAGACUAAUCGAACCAUCUAGUAGCUGGUUCCAUCCGAAGUUUCCCUCAGGAUAGCUGGCGCCGAGGUGUGCCGCCCGUUAGCGGGCGCACGGACGCCGGUGGGACUCCGCGCUGUACGGCGCGGUAACAACACCGAGUCGUAACACGGAGGAUGUCUCAUACGGUAAAGCGAAUGAUUAGAGGACAUUGGGGCCGAAACGACCUCAACCUAUUCUCAAACUAUAAAUGGGUGAGAUCGCCGGCUUGGCCUGAUGGACGCACGGCGUUCGUCGUGCGCGAAGCCGGCGACGGAACCCUAGGCGCUUAGUGGGCCAUUUUUGGUAAGCAGAACUGGCGCUGCGGGAUGAACCGAACGCCGAGUUAAGGCGCCGGAAUCGACGCGUAUUCAGAGACCAUGAAAGGCGUUGGUUGCUGAUGACAGCAGGACGGUGGCCAUGGAAGUCGGAAUCCGCUAAGGAGUGUGUAACAACUCACCUGCCGAAGCAACUAGCUCUGAAAAUGGAUGGCGCUGGAGCGUCGUGCCUAUACUCGGCCGUCGGCGGCACAGUGGGGCCGUCGUCCCGGGCCGCUCGCGGUCCGGUCGCCGGUCCCGGUAGGCCCCGACGAGUAGGAUGGCGCGGCGGUGUGCGUCGAAGGGCAGGUCGCGAGACCGCCUGGAGCCGCCGUCGGUGCAGAUCUUGGUGGUAGUAGCAAAUACUCGAGAGGGGCCCUCGGGGGCUGCCGUGGAGAAGGGUUUCUUGUGAACAGCCGUUGUCCAAGAGUCAGUCGAUCCUAAGCCCGGGGAGAGAUCCUCGUACCACGGGCGAAGGCGCAUACACGAAUCGCCCAUGGGGCGAGAGGGAAUCCGGUCCGUAUUCCGGAACCCGACGCGGAACCGCUCCCUAGUGUUCGGGGCUCUUUUGUCUCGUCCGGGCAACCGGAAUGAACUCGAAGAAGCCGCCGGCCGGUCCGGGAAGAGUUCUCUUUUCUCUGUGAGCGUUGUACGUCCCUGGAAUCCUCUAGCCGGGCGAUAGGGACGCGAGCGCGAAGAGCACCGCUCGUUGCGGCGGUGUCCGUGACCGGCACGCGGACCUUGAAAAUUCGAGAGAGGGCCACGCGGAGUCUUCGCGUCGGUUCGUACCGAUAUCCGCAGCAGGUCUCCGAGGUGAGCAGCCUCUAGCCGCAUAGAAUAAUGUAGGUAAGGGAAGUCGGCAAAACCGAUCCGUAACUUCGGGAUAAGGAUUGGCUCUGAGGAGCGUGGCGGAUCGGGUUCGGGUCCGAGUAGAAGCGCAAGCGGAGCUGGCGGCACCCCGGCCGUCGCCCCGUGCGCCCUCCUCCGGGUGGGCGCGCGUCGAGGCGGCCGCGGGCCCGUCGCCGUCCGCCGA